CUAGCCAUCGCAGCCGCCGCAUGCCACUCCGCAAGUCACCGCCGCCAGCCCAGGGCCUCAUGCCUCCACCGCUCGCCCCUUUCUCUGUAGGUCGCCGACGCAACCCUAGACCCCGGGGCCGUUCCCUCAUCCCCACCAGGCUCGAGGAGGCCCGAGGAGGUGGCCAUGAGGAGCGCGCAGCCGCCAGAUCCAUGGGCAGAUCCAGCCGGCGCCGUCGGCAGCCAUCCCUCCCUCCGGUGGCCGUAAGAAUUGAACAGGCUUGAGCAGAACGAGUGCAUGGACGGUGCGCACCUCCGGCGAUAGGAGCCACCAGUCCUCGUCAUCUGCUAGCAUCCACGAGGAAUCGAUCCAUAUGUAAGCUAGCUUCCAGAAUAAUCCAUCCAGCUGGCUGCUUGCUUGUAUGUGUACUAGUGGAAACGAGAGCAAAAUGCGAGACCGGCGUCGAGGGUACAUGCCCGCUGCUAAUUGAUUCUCCAGAAUAUUUGUGGGGAGCUCGGAUAGUGUUGAUGCCUCAAGGGUUUAUGCAUAUCAAUUCCAUGCUGUUUAAAGCCACUGUAAUCAUGGCUACUGGUUUCCAGAAAGCACAUACACACACAUGCCCGACGCAACAACAAGAACGCACAUACAGCACAGAUCCUCUGCUCCUGAUUCUCAAUGACUCAAAAAAGGAUAAUUGAGUUGCAGCUGAAUUCUUCGAUUGGAUGAUGAAGCAAACAUAAUUGGAAGACUUUACUUGGCAAUAAUCGUAGUUUAAAUUAAUAGAUUGAAAAAUGUAAUACCGUUCAGAAGAUCUUUGCCUUUUGUCGAAUUGUUGCAAAUUCUAUGGUGUAAUAUUCUCCAUAGAUGUGUUCUCUAUUGUAAAAUUGAUACGAAUGAUAUGUUGUUCAACCAAUAACAUUGGUAUU